AGAGUUUGAUCCUGGCUCAGGACGAACGCUGGCGGCACGCUUAACACAUGCAAGUCGAACGAGAGAAGAGGAGCUUGCUUUUCUGAUCUAGUGGCGGACGGGUGAGUAACACGUGAGCAAUCUGCCUUUCAGAGGGGGAUACCGAUUGGAAACGAUCGUUAAUACCGCAUAACAUAAUUGAACCGCAUGAUUUGAUUAUCAAAGAUUUAUCGCUGAAAGAUGAGCUCGCGUCUGAUUAGCUAGUUGGUAAGGUAACGGCUUACCAAGGCGACGAUCAGUAGCCGGACUGAGAGGUUGAUCGGUCACAUUGGGACUGAGACACGGCCCAGACUCCUACGGGAGGCAGCAGUGGGGAAUAUUGCACAAUGGAGGAAACUCUGAUGCAGCGAUGCCGCGUGAGGGAAGAAGGUUUUAGGAUUGUAAACCUCUGUCUUCAGGGACGAAAAAAGACGGUACCUGAGGAGGAAGCUCCGGCUAACUACGUGCCAGCAGCCGCGGUAAUACGUAGGGAGCGAGCGUUGUCCGGAAUUACUGGGUGUAAAGGGAGCGUAGGCGGGAUCGCAAGUCAGAUGUGAAAACUAUGGGCUUAACCCAUAAACUGCAUUUGAAACUGUGGUUCUUGAGUGUAGUAGAGGUAAGCGGAAUUCCUAGUGUAGCGGUGAAAUGCGUAGAUAUUAGGAGGAACAUCAGUGGCGAAGGCGGCUUACUGGGCUUUAACUGACGCUGAGGCUCGAAAGCGUGGGGAGCAAACAGGAUUAGAUACCCUGGUAGUCCACGCCGUAAACGAUGAUUACUAGGUGUGGGGGGACUGACCCCUUCCGUGCCGCAGCAAACGCAAUAAGUAAUCCACCUGGGGAGUACGACCGCAAGGUUGAAACUCAAAGGAAUUGACGGGGGCCCGCACAAGCAGUGGAGUAUGUGGAUUAAUUCGAAGCAACGCGAAGAACCUUACCAGGUCUUGACAUCGUAUGCAUAGCUCAGAGAUGAGUGAAAUCUCUUCGGAGACAUAUAGACAGGUGGUGCAUGGUUGUCGUCAGCUCGUGUCGUGAGAUGUUGGGUUAAGUCCCGCAACGAGCGCAACCCUUACUGUUAGUUGCUACGCAAGAGCACUCUAGCAGGACUGCCGUUGACAAAACGGAGGAAGGUGGGGAUGACGUCAAAUCAUCAUGCCCCUUAUGACCUGGGCCUCACACGUACUACAAUGGCUGUCAACAGAGGGAAGCAAAGCCGCGAGGUGGAGCGAACCCCUAAAAGCAGUCUUAGUUCGGAUUGUAGGCUGCAACCCGCCUACAUGAAGUCGGAAUUGCUAGUAAUCGCAGAUCAGCAUGCUGCGGUGAAUACGUUCCCGGGCCUUGUACACACCGCCCGUCACGCCAUGGGAGUCGGUAACACCCGAAGCCUGUAGUCUAACCGCAAGGAGGACGCAGUCGAAGGUGGGAUUGAUGACUGGGGUGAAGUCGUAACAAGGUA
rnacentral:rRNA from 1 species